rnacentral:rRNA from 1 species
GAAAGGGAAUACCCGGUGGGCGAAAGGCCGGCCCCCCUGGAACAAGAUAACUGACACUCAGAUGCGAAAAGGCGUGGGGAGCAAACAGGGAUUUAGAUACCCUGGUAGUUCCACGCCCGUAAAACGAUGUCUACUUGGGAGGGUUGUGGCCCUUGAGCCGUGGCUUUUCGGAGCUAACGCGUUAAGUAGACCGCCUGGGGAGUACGGUCGCAAGAUUAAAACUCAAAUGAAUUGACGGGGGCCCGCACAAGCGGUGGAGCAUGUGGUUUAAUUCGAUGCAACGCGAAGAACCUUACCUACUCUUGACAUCCAGAGAAUCCUGCGGAGACGCGGGAGUGCCUUCGGGAACUCUGAGACAGGUGCUGCAUGGCUGUCGUCAGCUCGUGUUGUGAAAUGUUGGGUUAAGUCCCGCAACGAGCGCAACCCUUAUCCUUGUUUGCCAGCGAGUAAUGUCGGGAACUCCAGGGAGACUGCCGGUGAUAAACCGGAGGAAGGUGGGGACGACGUCAAGUCAUCAUGGCCCUUACGAGUAGGGCUACACACGUGCUACAAUGGCGCAUACAGAGGGCAGCGAACUUGCGAGAGUAAGCGAAUCCCAAAAAGUGCGUCGUAGUCCGGAUUGGAGUCUGCAACUCGACUCCAUGAAGUCGGAAUCGCUAGUAAUCGUGAAUCAGAAUGUGCACGGUGAAUACGUUCCCGGGCCUUGUACACACUCGCCCGUGCACACCAUGGGAGUGGGCUGCAAAAGAAGCA